UACGUAGGUGGCGAGCGUUGUCCGGAUUUACUGGGCGUAAAGAGCGCGCAGGCGGUCGUGUAAGUCGCGUGUGAAAGCCCCUGGCUCAACUGGGGAGGGUCACGCGAUACUGCUCGACUCGAAGGCAGGAGAGGGAAGUGGAAUUCCCGGUGUAGUGGUGAAAUGCGUAGAUAUCGGGAGGAACACCAGUGCCGAAGGCGACUUCCUGGCCUGUUCUUGACGCUGAGACGCGAAAGCGUGGGGAGCGAACAGG
rnacentral:rRNA from 1 species